AUGUGCUGUUCCUCCUAUUCACAUCCAUUGGCUUCGUUGGCGUUGGCUUCUCUUCUGGCGGGUGCAUGGCGGGAGGGACAGAGUUUGGAGCCCAAAAUGGAGAGAGAAUGUGAGGUGAGGACUUUGCUCCUGUCCCCCCGGCCCUCCUCGCCUUCCCCUGGGGCUCUGGAAUGGCUGCUGGAGGGUCCUGAAGGCGCUCUAGGCUUGGCCCUUCCCACUUUCCGCCAUUUCGCCUUCUUCCUCCCAAGGCUGCGAUCACAGACGGUCAUGGUCGGGAUUUUUGCUUUCUCCCCCCCCCUCCCAGCGAGGCCCCUCCUGGGCCGUCCCCUGGUCUGGAGGGCCGCUUGGUUGCUCAGCUUGGACGCUCCCCCAAAGGAGAAGCCCGACACACAGGCCGGAGGAGAGGCCGGUUUGGGGCCCAAAGCCCACGGGAUGGAGACUGGGAGAGGGGGAGGCCGGGCCGCCUCCGCCUGCUGGCUCCUGGGGCCCUCUGGGAAGCCUUCGGCAGCCUGCGGCGUGCCAGGCUCCCCACGGGGCGACCGGAGACGGUUCUGCCCUCGGUGGCAGGCUCGAGAGGAGGCCCUGGAUCUGCAGGCAGAGGACAGGGCGGAGCCGCGGCACAGGAAGCCCGUGGAAAGGCACCGAGGACGGCCGGCUGGCACGGAGCCUCCCUGCUCUGCUCGAGACACGGGCAGGUGGUGCCCGAGCCUGGCACCCACAAGGCCUCUGCAGAAGACCCCUCCCCCCGCCUCGCCCGCUCUCGCAGCGGUGAGGUUGGUCCUGAGGGCAGGACAGACACGGCCAGGCCAGACCCAAACCCCCCCGCCUGUGGCCGGGUUUCGGGAGCCUGCAAAGCCCAGGGCUGUCUCCCGGCCUCGUGGGGCAGGACGGCGGCCCAUCCCCCUCCCCCGCCCAGGGAGCGCCAACCGGAAGGAAGUACAAUCGUACAAUCGAUGUUUUAUUUGGCAUUCCCGAAGGGCAGGCGCUGCGGGCGUGGGGCUACCCGGACGAUGCCCGGCCUAG
rnacentral:lncRNA from 1 species